rnacentral:rRNA from 1 species
CGUGAGUGAUAGAAGGCUUUCGGGUCGUAAAACUCUGUUGUUAGGGAAGAACAAGUGCUAGUUGAAUAAGCUGGCACCUUGACGGUACCUAACCAGAAAGCCACGGCUAACUACGUGCCAGCAGCCGCGGUAAUACGUAGGUGGCAAGCGUUAUCCGGAAUUAUUGGGCGUAAAGCGCGCGCAGGUGGUUUCUUAAGUCUGAUGUGAAAGCCCACGGCUCAACCGUGGAGGGUCAUUGGAAACUGG